AACGCACAUUGCGCCCAUUAGUAUUCUAGUGGGCAUGCCUGUUCGAGCGUCAUCAAGUCCACUUAAGCCCUGCUUAGUGUUGAGAACCUACAGAAGCUACCCUGUAGCUACCCUGUAGUUCCUUAAAGACAGCGGCGGAGUUGUAGUACCCUCUGAGCUUAGUAAUUUUUUCUAGCUUUCGAGAUGCUACUGCUUCUGCCGUUAAACACCCUUCUUCUGAAUGGUUGACCUCGGAUCAGGUAGGAAUACCCGCUGAACUUAA
rnacentral:misc_RNA from 1 species